rnacentral:rRNA from 1 species
ACUUUACAAUGCAGGCAACUGUGAUAAGGGAACCCCGAGUGCCCGUAUGGACGGGCUGUUCAGGUGCUUAAAAACCACCUGGAGAAAGGGCCGGGCAAGACCGGUGCCAGCCGCCGCGGUAAUACCGGCGGCUCGAGUGGUGGCCACUAUUACUGGGCUUAAAGCGUCCGUAGCUUGGUCGUUAAGCCUCUGGGGAAAUCUUCCGGCUCAACCGGAAGGCGUCUCAGGGGAACUGGCGGCCUAGGGAUCGGGAGAGGUGAGAGGUACUCUGGGGGUAGGAGUGAAAUCCUGUAAUCCUCAGGGGACCACCUGUGGCGAAGGCGUCACACCAGAACGACUCCGACAGUGAG